AUUAAACGCUGGCGGCAUGCCUUACACAUGCAAGUCGAACGGUAGCGCGGGGCAACCUGGCGACGAGUGGCGAACGGGCGAGUAAAGCAUCGGAACGUGCCCUGGAAUGGGGGAUAACGUAGCGAAAGUUACGCUAAUACCGCAUAUUCUGUGAGCAGGAAAGCAGGGGAUCGCAAGACCUUGCGUUCUGGGAGCGGCCGAUGUCGGAUUAGCUAGUUGGUGGGGUAAAAGCCUACCAAGGCGACGAUCCGUAGCGGGUCUGAGAGGAUGAUCCGCCACACUGGGACUGAGACACGGCCCAGACUCCUACGGGAGGCAGCAGUGGGGAAUUUUGGACAAUGGGCGGAAGCCUGAUCCAGCCAUGCCGCGUGAGUGAAGAAGGCCU
rnacentral:rRNA from 1 species